AUAGUGGUAGUUAAGUAAUAAUUUUGGAUUUGCGUUCCUAGGUCGGGAAGGAAGUUCCCCCUCUAUA
rnacentral:tRNA from 1 species